UACGAAGGGGGCUAGCGUUGUUCGGAAUUACUGGGCGUAAAGCGCGCGCAGGCGGUCUUCCAAGUCAGUGAUGAAAGCCCGGAGCUCAACUCCGGAACUGCCAUUGAAACUGUGAGACUUGAGGAUGAGAGAGGUGAGUGGAAUUCCCAGUGUAGAGGUGAAAUUCGUAGAUAUUGGGAAGAACACCGGUGGCGAAGGCGGCUCACUGGCUCAUAUCUUACGCUGAGGCGCCAAAGCGUGGGUAGCAAACAGG
rnacentral:rRNA from 1 species